AACUUGUUGAGCUUCUGUUCUUCUAAAGUCAGUCUGCUGCCAUCUGCUGGAUAAAGAAAUAAAAAGUUCUGUAAUUCUGAUUGAUCAGCUGGCAGUGAUGGAAACAUUUUGGCUCUAGGAGUUCAGAUGUUCCUUGUUGUCUCUGAGUGAUGGUGGAGCUGAUGUGUUGCUGACUCUUCUCCUCUGCCUCCUCCAACAGGAUGAAGAUGAUCUGCUGGAUCCCGCUGCUCAUCAUCAUCAUCAUCCUCAGCUCAUUUCUCUGUGUUUGACUAGAAGAGAAUCAAGCAGAGCUCUGACAGCACAGAGACCAUCAUGAGACAGAAACCUCUAGAGAUGGACUUUAAAGGCUCCCAUGUUCCAGUUCUCAGUGUGUCUGCUCCUCUCUUCCUCUCUCUGUCUCUUCAGCAGCAACAUUUGUAGUGAAUGUGACCCAGAGCUCCUAUCAGGCAGAGGAGAAGCACAACAUCACUCUGGAGUGGACCUUCACCACCAGACCUCAUGGAUCCUGGAGUCAGCUGUUUGUUCUCUGCAGCUUGUUUACUUCUAACAGACAUUCAGUCGUCUUUCAUGUCCAUGAUGGUGUUGAGGUGCCAGAGUCUCAGGAUGAACAGUUCUCAGGACGAGUCCAGAGUGACAAAGACGUCCUCAGAGAAGGACGAAUCAGACUCCAUGUGUCCAGACUGAGGACUGAAGACUCUGGUCUGUAUGUCUGUAAGGUGGAGACUGAUGGAGGCUCAGGCUAUGAAAAAUGUCUCCUCAACGUCUCUGCUGCUGAUCAGAUCCAAACUCAGAGACCAACUUUGACUCCAGAACCAGAGAGACGAGGAACGAUCUUCCUCUACAUCCCACUGGGACUGACAGCAGCAGCUCUGAUGGUUCUGAUGACACCGUUGAUUGUUUGGUUCAGGAGGAAAAGAAGGAAAACAACGUUGAUCGUUUGGUUCUUAAAGGAAAAGAAGAAGAAAACAAAACUGUCAAGUGUCAGAUUUUUCUGAAUGACUGUAUUUUAGUAAUAAGGACGUUGAUCUGUUCCUCGUUUUAUUUCAGGUUGAUGUUUUGAAAUAUUUAUUUCUGUUCUCACCCAGAAGCAAUGAUCUUUAUUGUUCUAAUGCUUUAAUGCUCUAACAGCUGAUUGUUACUGAAGUUGAAGCGCUGUAGAUGAUUUAACAAAAGCUGGAAUACAAUGACAGCUAUAUUAUUCCAGGUUCUGCAGCAGAUAAAUGCUAUGGCACUUUGUUUAUUUGUGCAUUAAUCAGUAUUUUUAAAAGGUGUUAUUUGUAAAAAA